rnacentral:rRNA from 1 species
UACGUGAGGGGCGAACGUUGUUCGGUGUCACUGGGCUUAAAGGGUGCGUAGGUGGUUCUGUAAGUAAGGUGUGAAAUCCCUCGGCUUACCCGGGGAAUUGCAUUUUAUACUGCAGGACUUGAGGACCAGAGGGGAAAAGGGAACUCCAGGUGUAGCGGUGAAAUGCGCAGAUAUCUGGGGGAAGGCCGGCGGCGAAGGCGCUUUUCUGGCUGGUUCCUGACACUGAGGCACGAAAGCGUGGGGAGCAAACAGG